rnacentral:rRNA from 1 species
AUGACGAUGAUGGCCUACGGAGGAUGGGGAAGCAGCAGCACGGCGCCGCCGCCGCUCACGAUGAAGCUCCAGGUGAACACCCGCACCAGGCGCGUGGUUUGCGCCAAGGCCGAGAAGGACAUGGGGGACUUGCUCUUCUCCUUCGGCAACAUCCCCCUCGGCGCGGCCGCCACGCUGCUCGGUGGGGGCUCCAUGGGCAGCUUCGGCAACUUGUCCCAGAGCCUCGGGGGGCUCCACGCCUCCUACAUCAUCGACCAAGACGCCAGGGACGCCCUGCUCGUGCCUACGGGCCGCGGCCUUCUCCUGCUUGCCCGUGGCGGGUCGUCGUCGUCGUCUGGCGGGACGGUGCUCGCCGACGUCUUCCUGAGGAGGGCCUGA